rnacentral:rRNA from 1 species
CAAUAGCGUAUAUUAAAGUUGUUGCAGUUAAAAGCUCGUAGUUGGAUUUGUGGUGUGUCCAGUUGGCCUUUGCUCUUUGAGUGAUAGUGCUUUACUGGUCUGCCAUGUUUGGGUGGAAUCUGUGUGGCAUUAAGUUGUCGUGCAGGGGAUGCCCAUCGUUUACUGUGAAAAAUUAGAGUGUUCAAAGCAGGCUUAUGCCUCUGAAUAUAUUAGCAUGGAAUAAUGAUAUAGGACCUUGGUACUAUUUUGUUGGUUUGUCGCACUGAGGUAAUGAUUAAGAGGGACAGUUGGGGGUAGUUUGUAUUCCAAAUUGUCAGAGGUGAAAUUCUUGGUAUUUUUGGUAAGACAAACUAACUGCGAAAGACAUUUACCUAAGGAUGUUUUCUAUUAAUCAAGAACGAAAGUUAAGGGGAGUCGAAGAUGAUUAG